AGUGUUGUUUACAUGUGCGUGUUGGAGUGUGCGUCUGUGAGAGAGAGAGAGAAACUCCUGAAUUAAUUAUCUCUCACAACCCUUUCUUGUUUAUCUUCAUAAUUAUCUUCUAGUGAAAAUUCUCCUGAAAGCAGAAAAGUGAAACCCCCCUCUCUCCUGCGUUUAGAUUUGCUAAGCUCCUGAGUCGCUUUCCUGCGUCUGACUUUCAUAUGGCCAUGGGGACAAUGACCCAUCUUUUCUAUUUGCAUCACAAAUAUAAAACUCUCUCUCCUGCAACUCCCUUUCCUUCUUCUCCUGCCAGGAAAAUAUGGAUUAGGGUUUUGAAGAACGCCUCUAAUUACUAAGAUUUUAGGGUUUCGGUAUCUUCCAUUAUUCUGUACACUAUUUGUGGAUCCUAUAUUCUGCAGACGAAGAUACUACUACUUACUGCUUGGAAGGUUCAUAACUAAUGUUGAAGUUGCUUUCAUUGAUUUGGAGUGUGAAACUGGUGCACAGUACUACCAGUACUACUGCAGUUGCAUGGUGGGGUUUACUUGAUUUAUGGAUACAAAUUUACAAUGCUAUAUCCGCUAGGUAUAAAAAUUAUAUGGUGAAUAUUGAAGAAAUGGGGAGAGAGAGCUUUCUUCAGUCCACUCAUGGAUAGAAAUUGAAAGGGUUGUUGAAGUAGCUGCCGACUCAUUCACUCAAGCACUCAGUAGAGAUUAAAGGAGUGUAAACGCAGACAAUUUGCUACUGUGAUUGUGUGAAUGAAGCGGGAGAUAUUUUACAUCCCUCUUGCUCUGCGCUUGGACUGAAGGGAGCUCCUCCUUUCCAUUCUCUCCACUUUUCUCCAUCUCUCAGUUAAGGUUUAGGAGCACUAAACUAAGUUAGGUGCCAAAACUUAGUUACUACUAAUUAGUUUCAUAUGCUUAUAUAUCAGUUAGAGAAGAGUUAAUAGUAUCAUCAUCAUCAUUCUUUCCCAUCUGUUACAUGCUUAAGUUGACUGAUGGUUAGCAUUUGGUUUUCUCUCGCAAGAAGUAAUGUGUAGUUCUCUUACUGAAACGUGUUGUUUAGCAACACAAGUUAUGAAUGUAUAUAUGUUUAGAUUCACAGUCUAGUAACAUAAGUUAAGAAAUAUAUGUUUAGAUUCACAAUCUAGCAACAUAAGCCAUCGCAUAUAUGCACCCCUCAUAAGCAUUUGAUGAAUCAAUUCGCUUGUUGUAAAAGCAAAAAAGCCUUUUCUGUAUUUCAUGGGUUACUAGUUACGAGUAGGUGUACUCCAGCUAGUACCAAUGACCAUGCAUAUGAAGAAGGGGCCUACGUCAAGUGCCUUCUCUUGUCCACGGGGUUGAUCACAGCUCUCACAUUGUCCUCCUCUAAUAAUUUUACUUCAUUUCCUCUACUUUUUUCACCCGACAAGUAAUCUUGGUCAGGUGCUUUUAUCUCUAUUUACUUUCCCAUCUUUUUAAAUAAUGUUCAGUAACUUUUCCCUUUUCCCCCACUC